rnacentral:lncRNA from 1 species
UUUCACCUAGUGAUGCGUUAACCGCUUAAUCUUACGAAUUCCAAGAAAAUUUUGAAAAAUUAAACUGCACCCAUUGAUGCGUACAUCGAUCCAAUUGAAAAAUCGUCAAAGAAAUUCCACCUAUUGAUGCGUACAUCCAAUAUAGUUGAAAAAUUAAACUGCACAAUUGUAUAAAAAAUUUGAUCCAUCUGCUUAAAAUUAAGGUCACCUAAAGCUGAUCGUACCGACAAAACGUCCAAAUAACAGGAUUUAUUAGUCAUUACCCAAAUAAAUGUACAACGUGCUUUAUUCCGGUGUUUCAACCAAGUCACAUUUUUAAAGAGGUGAUUGCUAAUAUAUUUUUGCAAAACUAAAAUAUAAUAUGUUCAAAAUAAUAUUUAAAAUUUAAAAUAUGUAUGAAAACUAUUCAAAGGUCAUUAUAUUUUAAUGUUAUAUAUUUUUUUGUCUUUAACCUAAUUAUAUGCUGAUGCCUAGUCAGGUAACAAGAUCAUACACCUCUUUUCUUGUCUAAUCUAAUAAGAUUGCUUGAUUUUUUUUUUCCCUUUUUUUAAUUCCUGAUUUCUUUCAACAUGUUCUCGAUUUCUGGGGCUUGGGAAGUGAUAAUAAAGAAACAAAAGCGAUAUAGAACUUAAACUAAUAUGACGGCCAUUAUUAUUUCAUAGAUAUGUUGAUAAAUUUUUGUAGAAUUAAUAAAAAGCUUUGCUUCCAUGAAGAGAAAGAAUAGA